GAGAAAGAAAAGAAAGAAAAACUAGGCGCGGUCACGUGUGCACGCUUGGGCUCCUUACUGCUCAGAAUUUUAGAAUCACAGAUCCAGCAGUGAUCAGGCAGCUGCAGCUGUCAGGGACCACCACCACCUACGCGAUUGAUCCGUGGGAGAAGCCCUCCUACUCUUUUCUUUCUCCUUUGUCCUUCUCAUUCCUGACCCCUUCAGGAUUCUCAGUCUUCCCUCCGGGAGACUUUUGGCCAGUCUUGUCUCGCUCCAACCUCCUACCCCCACCCCAUUCCUCAGUGCAUUCGUGAAUUUCUCCAAGCAGGCCUUUCCAGAUCGACACUAAGUUCCAAUCCCGAGCUGUGUGACCCAGCACCAAUUCAGUCACGAUGAUGACUUGCAAUUGCUUAAUCAGUUUGCCUUUCCUCCUAGCUGUGAAGUUUACCGUGCAGGAUUGCAAACACCAGAGAGAAAAUCAGUCUCUGGAAUGAUGCCUUUGAUGGACCAAGUUGCAGCUGAUGAAGCAUUGAACCAAUUAGCACCUAGCAGGAGGGCACCCUUGCUCUGUGUCCUUGAAGGUUAAAGCUGUCAAAAAGUGGUCUCCCUCAAGUUCGGCCAUCUUGCUCUCAGAGAUCUAGAACUGUACUCAGUCAAAAUUUUGGGCCAAGGAGACCGACGCGCUGUCGCCUGCACUAAGAGAAACGCAACGAACAACUGUGUCAAUGCAUUGCAUUAUACUAUAGCAGCAACUAUACUUUUAAAUGAUUCGAAUCUUGAGGUUUCAAACUGAACCGUCUUGUGCCUUUUGCCCGGCGGGUAUUUCUGCGGAGACCGCGGGUCACCUUCUGAAUUUUUACCUUCAUAAACAGCAAGGACUGCGCUCUUUCGCACGGCGCCCCGUUUUUUCGUAGAGUUCCGUCGGCCAAAACCACUUGAAACUCGCUCAGCGGCGUCGGGGCUCCAGCCAGGCGUCACCUUCCACGGCGAACCUGCGAACCACAGCGUCCCCUGGGGGUCUCCGUCCGCGUGGCCGCUUCCCCUUACAUCCGUGACGCAAGGGAAGGGCGUCUAGGAUCCGCCGGUUUCCUUCCUCACUGCUCCUCACAGUGCGAAAGCAACGUGUUCGGGGGUCGGGGUGUGUGGCGGCUGAACAGCUGCCUGAAGUUCUCUGAUGGCGCUGGAGGGAGCUCCAGAGAAGAGGUCAUGGGGAGAAGGCACACCUUAAA